GAUGAACGCUGGCGGCGUGCUUAACACAUGCAAGUCGAACGGAAAGGCCCCUCCUUUGUGGGGUACUCGAGUGGCGAACGGGUGAGUAACACGUGGGUGACCUGCCCUUGACUUUGGGAUAACUCUAGGAAACUGGGUCUAAUACCGGAUAGGAGCUUCUGUUGCAUGGUGGUGUUGGGAGAGUUUCGGCGGUGUGGGAUGUACUCGCGGCUUAUCAGCUUGGUGGUGGGGUAGUGGCUCACCAAGGCUUUGACGGGUAGCCGGCCUGAGAGGGUGACCGGCCACAUUGGGACUGAGAUACGGCCCAGACUCCUACGGGAGGCAGCAGUGGGGAAUAUUGCACAAUGGGCGGAAGCCUGAUGCAGCGACGCCGCGUGGGGGAUGACGGCCUUCGGGUUGUAAACCGCUUUCGCUAGGGACGAAGCGCUAGUGACGGUACCGGGUGAAGAAGCACCGGCUAACUACGUG
rnacentral:rRNA from 1 species